GACACAUUUCUCUUCCUGCCUGCCCAGAAAACCACUACCUCAAAGUAAGCAGACAGGAGGACAGAUGUUGUGUAAGGUUGGGGAACGCAAGGAAGAUGAAUGGACUUCAACACAAGGAAAGGCUCUCAGGGAAUACUUUCCAAGCCCGCAGGAAUGUAAGGACACUCCCACAUCGCUGGUAAGUGAGUCAUCACCAAUCACCAUCCAGUUAAGAAUCAUUGUAUGUAACAGGCUUAGAAUCAAAGCCUUAUUAUUAUUAUUAUUUUAAUCAACAGAAAAGAGAACCUAUUUAGAAGUCUGGAGAAUGAUCUAAAAGGACAGGCUAAGAUGAGAACACUUGGAGGCAGGACAGUAGAAAGACAGGGACACUCCUGUGUGACUGUUGGGAAGAGCAAACUCAUAGGGAAGCAAGGAGGCACUUGCCAGCUGG
rnacentral:lncRNA from 10 species